UAUCCCCCAAACCAAGGGGGGAUGAGAACCACCGACCGGGGUUCGACAACUGGCGCAGCCAGUUGGACAGACGACGAGCUUGCGAGGAGACUGCCCGAAGGGCGAGCGCAGCGAGUCAACCCCCCCCUCACCGCCA
rnacentral:sRNA from 3 species